rnacentral:rRNA from 1 species
GACGAACGCUGGCGGCGUGCCUAAUACAUGCAAGUCGAGCGAACAGACGAGGAGCUUGCUCCUCUGACGUUAGCGGCGGACGGGUGAGUAACACGUGGAUAACCUAUCUAUAUUAUUGGGAUAACUUCGGGAAACCGGAGCUAAUACCGGAUAAUAUAUUGAACCGUAUGGUUCAUUAGUGAAAUACGGUUUUGCUGUUACUUAUAGAUGGAUCCGCGCCGCAUUAGCUAGUUGGUAAUGUAACGGCUUACCAUGGUAACGAUGCGUAGCCGCCCUGAGGGGGGGGUCGGCCACACUGGAACCUAAACGCGGUCCAGCCUCCUACGGGAGGCAGCAGUACGGUAUCUUCCGCAAUAGGCGGAAGCCUGGCGGAGCAUCGCCGAGUGAGUGAUGACGGUCUUCGGAUCGUAAUACUCUGUUAUUGGGUGCGAACAGAUGUGUAAGAAACUAUGCACGUCUUGACGGUACCGAAUCAGAAAGCCACGGCUAACUACGUG